ACAAGGUCUGCGAAGAAAGCAUAGGGUCGGGUUUUUGACAUUGAUAGGGAGUUGAAAAGAAAGCGAACGAAGAUCUUCUCUCAUUAAAAAUCCCAACUUUUUUCCAUUUUAAGGUUUUAGGGUUCUCAAUCGCAUCGAAAAUGGCAGGAGAAGCGACUAUGUUUAAGUUCCUUAAGCCUAGGCUUCGUCCUCAAUCCACUGAUAUCCAGGCCGC
rnacentral:misc_RNA from 1 species